CCUACGGGAGGCAGCAGUGAGGAAUAUUGGUCAAUGGCCGGAAGGCUGAACCAGCCAUGCCGCGUGAAGGUCAGUGCCCUAUGGGCGUUAAACUUCUUUUGUGCGGGAGCAAUAAUGGUCACGUGUGGCCAGACGAGAGUACCGUACGAAUAAGCAUCGGCUAACUCCGUGCCAGCAGCCGCGGCAAUACGGGGGAUGCAAGCGUUAUCCGGAUUUAUUGGGUUUAAAGGGUGCGUAGGCUGUGAGGUAAGGCAGCGGUGAAAUGCCACCGCCCAACGGGGUGAAGUGCAAUUGAUACUGCCUGGCUGGAAUGCGGAUGACGUGGGAAGAAUGUGUGGUGUAGCGGUGAAAUGCAUAGAUAUCACACAGAACACCGAUUGCGAAGGCAUCUCACGAAUCCGCGAUUGACGCUGAUGCACGAAAGCGUGGGUAUCAAACAGGAUUAGAUACCCGAGUAGUC
rnacentral:rRNA from 1 species